AUGACGUUUCCCGCGACGUUUCAGCCCCGGUCUCGAGUACUUGAUCGGCUAUACUUGGGCGGAUUUCCUGUGUUCCGAGACGGUAGGUCCGACUACCACACGACUGCCAUGUGACCGAGCCGAUCCACUGGUGUGCUCCGGCAGCCGACAUCAGUAUGGAAUCUUCAGCUACGGGUACGAUGGCACAGGGGCGUCUCCAGCGACGGAGGCGACAGAGUGCGGUGAUCCGGCCAUUCAGGGCAGACACCUGUUCAUCAACAGGAACGCUGGCUGGAUAGCAGAGAUAAUAGCAAACCACGGUGGCGACUCGAAGCAGAUAGACGAAGAUAAAAAGACGACGAUGACGACGACGAUGACGCCGACGAUGACGACGACGAUGACGACGACGAUCACGACGACGAUGCUGACGAAGCGCCGUCGCUCCACGCGACUACGACCGACAGCCACCUCGACUCGAGUUCCAGAAGACUCUAGCACCGAUCAGCUGGAAGUCAACUACCCGUAUCUAGUGUACUUGGAAGGCCUGUACGACGAACCAGUGUGCGGCGGAACUCUUGUAUCGCCUUGGCACGUGCUCACGACCGCUUACUGCACGACCAGGAUGACCGAAAUCAUGGUAUGAAACGCGCGUGAUAAUAUACCACUAUAGACGCCAGCCGACCAGAAAUCGUCAACUGUAGACAUUAAAGGCACAUUAUGGAAGUAUUGCUGAUUGAGCCACUAAAUUUAAUAUGUAAUAUG